rfam:Schistosoma mattheei strain Denwood, Zambia genome assembly, scaffold: SMTD_scaffold0003681
AUCUAGCUGACGAGUCCCAAAUAGGGAGAAACGUGGGUUCUGGAU